CGGCUCAGUAACACGUGGAUAACCUACCCUUGAGACGGGGAUAAACCCGGGAAACUGGGUAUAAUACCCGAUAGAUCUCGACUGCUGGAAUGCAUCGAGCUUGAAAGCUCCGGCGCUCAAGGAUGGGUCUGCGGCCUAUCAGGUAGUAGUGGGUGUAGCGUACCUACUAGCCUACGACGGGUACGGGUUGUGAGAGCAAGAGCCCGGAGAUGGAUUCUGAGACACGAAUCCAGGCCCUACGGGGUGCAGCAGGCGCGAAAACUUUACAAUGCUGGAAACAGCGAUAAGGGGACCUCGAGUGCCAGGUUACAAAUCUGGCUGUCGUGAUGCCUAAAAAGCAUUGCGUAGCAAGGGCCGGGCAAGACCGGUGCCAGCCGCCGCGGUAACACCGGCAGCUCGAGUGGUAACCGUUAUUAUUGGGUCUAAAGGGUCUGUAGCCGGCCGGAUAAGUCUCUUGGGAAAUCUGGCAGCUUAACUGUCAGGCUUUCAGGAGAUACUGUCUGGCUCGAGGCCGGGAGAGGUGAGAGGUACUUCAGGGGUAGGGGUGAAAUCUUGUAAUCCUUGAAGGACCACCAGUGGCGAAGGCGUCUCACCAGAACGGACCUGACGGCAAGGGACGAAAGCUAGGGGCACGAACCGGAUU
rnacentral:rRNA from 1 species